UACGUAGGGGGCUAGCGUUGUCCGGAUUUAUUGGGCGUAAAGAGCGUGUAGGCGGCCAGGUAGGUCUGCUGUGAAAACUCGAGGCUUAACCUCGAGAUGUCGGCGGAAACCAUCUGGCUAGAGUCCGGAAGAGGAGAGUGGAAUUCCUGGUGUAGCGGUGAAAUGCGCAGAUAUCAGGAAGAACACCCGUGGCGAAGGCGGCUCUCUGGGACGGUACUGACGCUGAGGCGCGAAAGCUAGGGGAGCAAACAGG
rnacentral:rRNA from 1 species